rnacentral:rRNA from 1 species
UACAGAGGUCUCAAGCGUUGUUCGGAUUCAUUGGGCGUAAAGGGUGCGUAGGCGGCGCGGUAAGUCGGGUGUGAAAUCUCGGAGCUUAACUCCGAAACUGCAUUCGAUACUACCGUGCUUGAGGACUGGAGAGGAGACUGGAAUUUACGGUGUAGCGGUGAAAUGCGUAGAUAUCGUAAGGAAGACCAGGGGCGAAGGCGAGGCUCUGGACAGUUACUGACGCUGAGGCACGAAGGCCAGGGGAGCAAACGGG